UACGAAGGGGGCGAGCGUUGUUCGGAUUUACUGGGCGUAAAGGGCGCGCAGGCGGCUCAUUUUGUCAGGCGUGAAAGCCCCGGGCUUAACCUGGGAACUGCGUUUGAUACGUGCGGGCUUGAGUUCGGAAGAGGGUCGUGGAAUUCCCAGUGUAGAGGUGAAAUUCGUAGAUAUUGGGAAGAACACCGGUGGCGAAGGCGGCGACCUGGUCCGAUACUGACGCUGAGGCGCGAAAGCGUGGGGAGCAAACAGG
rnacentral:rRNA from 1 species